AUAUCAAUAAGCGGAGGAAAAGAAACCAACAGGGAUUGCCCCAGUAACGGCGAGUGAAGCGGCAACAGCUCAAAUUUGAAAUCUGGUCCCCUGCGGGGCCCGAGUUGUAAUUUGCAGAGGAUGCUUUUGGCGAGGCGCCUUCCGAGUUCCCUGGAACGGGACGCCGGAGAGGGUGAGAGCCCCGUACGGUCGGACGCCGGACCAGUGUAAAGCUCCCUCGACGAGUCGAGUAGUUUGGGAAUGCUGCUCUAAAUGGGAGGUAAACCCCUUCUAAAGCUAAAUACCGGCCAGAGACCGAUAGCGCACAAGUAGAGUGAUCGAAAGAUGAAAAGCACCUUGAAAAGAGGGUUAAACAGCACGUGAAAUUGUUGAAAGGGAAGCGCUUGCGGCCAGACCUGCGCCCGGCAGCUCGGCCGUCCCUCGUGGGCGGUGCACUCUGCCGGGUCCAGGCCAGCAUCGGCUCGCAGCGGGGGAGAAAGGCGACGGGAACGUGGCUCCUCGGAGUGUUAUAGCCCGCCGCUAUGCCCCGCCGCGGGCCGAGGUUCGCGCGCAUCUGCGCAAGGAUGCUGGCGUAAUGGCCGCCAGCGACCCGUCUUGAAACACGGACCAAGGAGUCGUCCUAGCAUGCGAGUGUUCGGGUGGCAAACCCCUACGCGCAAUGAAAGUGAACGGAGGUGAGAGCUUCGGCGCAUCAUCGACCGAUCCUGAUGUUCUCGGAUGGAUUUGAGUAGGAGCAUGCUGGGCCGGACCCGAAAGAAGGUGAACUAUGCUUGGAUAGGGCAAAGCCAGAGGAAACUCUGGUGGAGGCUCGCAGCGGUUCUGACGUGCAAAUCGAUCGUCAAAUCUGAGCAUGGGGGCGAAAGUGAGUUGGCAACCCCUACCCUCGGCGCAGCACGGUUUUUUACAGGCAGCAACUAACCACCCCUCGCAGGACUAAUCGAACCUUCUAGUAGCUGGUUUCCGC
rnacentral:rRNA from 1 species